GACGAACGCUGGCGGCGUGCUUAACACAUGCAAGUCGAACGGAAAGGCCCUGCUUUUGUGGGGUGCUCGAGUGGCGAACGGGUGAGUAACACGUGAGUAACCUGCCCUUGACUUUGGGAUAACUUCAGGAAACUGGGGCUAAUACCGGAUAGGAGCUCCUGCUGCAUGGUGGGGGUUGGAAAGUUUCGGCGGUUGGGGAUGGACUCGCGGCUUAUCAGCUUGUUGGUGGGGUAGUGGCUUACCAAGGCUUUGACGGGUAGCCGGCCUGAGAGGGUGACCGGCGACAUUGGGACUGGGGUACGGCCCAGACUCCUACGGGAGGCAGCAGUGGGGAAUAUUGCACAAUGGGCGGAAGCCUGAUGCAGCAACGCCGCGUGCGGGAUGACGGCCUUCGGGUUGUAAACCGCUUUCGCCUGUGACGAAGCGUGAGUGACGGUAAUGGGUAAAGAAGCACCGGCUAACUACGUG
rnacentral:rRNA from 1 species